CUACGGGGUGCAGCAGUGAGGAAUAUUGCACAAUGGGGGAAACCCUGAUGCAGCAACGCCGCGUGGAGGAUGACGCAUUUCGGUGUGUAAACUCCUUUUAUCAGAGAAGAAAAUGACGGUAUCUGAUGAAUAAGCUCCGGCUAACUCCGUGCCAGCAGCCGCGGUAAUUCGGAGGGAGCAAGCGUUAUUCGGAAUCACUGGGCGGAAAGGACGCGUAGGCGGGUUUUUAAGUCAGGUGUGAAAUCCUAUGGCUCAACCAUAGAACUGCACUUGAAACUGGGGACCUAGAGUAUGGAAGGGGCAGGUGGAAUUAGUGGUGUAGGGGUAAAAUCCGUAGAUAUCACUAGGAAUACCGAAAGCGAAGGCGACCUGCUGGGACAUUACUGACGCUGAGGCGUGAAAGCGUGGGGAGCAAACAGGAUUAGAUACCCCCGUAGUC
rnacentral:rRNA from 1 species